AGGGAAUCUUCCGCAAUGGGCGAAAGCCUGACGGAGCAACGCCGCGUGAGUGAUGAAGGUCUUCGGAUCGUAAAACUCUGUUAUUAGGGAAGAACAAAUGUGUAAGUAACUAUGCACGUCUUGACGGUACCUAAUCAGAAAGCCACGGCUAACUACGUGCCAGCAGCCGCGGUAAUACGUAGGUGGCAAGCGUUAUCCGGAAUUAUUGGGCGUAAAGCGCGCGUAGGCGGUUUUUUAAGUCUGAUGUGAAAGCCCACGGCUCAACCGUGGAGGGUCAUUGGAAACUGGAAAACUUGAGUGCAGAAGAGGAAAGUGGAAUUCCAUGUGUAGCGGUGAAAUGCGCAGAGAUAUGGAGGAACACCAGUGGCGAAGGCGACUUUCUGGUCUGUAACUGACGCUGGUGUGCGAAAGCGUGGGGAUCAAACAGGAUUAGAUACCCUGGUAGUCCACGCCGUAAACGAUGAGUGCUAAGUGUUAGGGGGUUUCCGCCCCUUAGUGCUGCAGCUAACGCAUUAAGCACUCCGCCUGGGGAGUACGACCGCAAGGUUG
rnacentral:rRNA from 1 species